GGGUUGUGAGGUUAAGCGACUAAGCGUACACGGUGGAUGCCCUGGCAGUCAGAGGCGAUGAAGGGCGUGCUAAUCUGCGAUAAGCGCCGGUAAGGUGAUAUGAACCGUUAUAACCGGCGAUACCCGAAUGGGGAAACCCAGUGUGAUUCGUCACACUAUCAUUAACUGAAUCCAUAGGUUAAUGAGGCGAACCGGGGGAACUGAAACAUCUAAGUACCCCGAGGAAAAGAAAUCAACCGAGAUUCCCCCAGUAGCGGCGAGCGAACGGGGAGGAGCCCAGAGCCUGAAUCAGCAUGUGUGUUAGUGGAAGCGUCUGGAAAGGCGCGCGAUACAGGGUGACAGCCCCGUACACAAAAGCGCAUGUGCUGUGAGCUCGAUGAGUAGGGCGGGACACGUGGUAUCCUGUCUGAAUAUGGGGGACCAUCCUCCAAGGCUAAAUACUCCUGACUGACCGAUAGUGAACCAGUACCGUGAGGGAAAGGCGAAAAGAACCCCGGCGAGGGGAGUGAAAAAGAACCUGAAACCGUGUACGUACAAGCAGUGGGAGCACAGGUUUACCUGUGUGACUGCGUACCUUUUGUAUAAUGGGUCAGCGACUUAUAUUCUGUAGCAAGGUUAACCGUAUAGGGGAGCCGUAGGGAAACCGAGUCUUAACCGGGCGUUAAGUUGCAGGGUAUAGACCCGAAACCCGGUGAUCUAGCCAUGGGCAGGUUGAAGGUUGGGUAACACUAACUGGAGGACCGAACCGACUAAUGUUGAAAAAUUAGCGGAUGACCUGUGGCUGGGGGUGAAAGGCCAAUCAAACCGGGAGAUAGCUGGUUCUCCCCGAAAGCUAUUUAGGUAGCGCCUCGUGAAUUCAUCUCCGGGGGUAGAGCACUGUUUCGGCUAGGGGGCCAUCCCGGCUUACCAACCCGAUGCAAACUGCGAAUACCGGAGAAUGUUAUCACGGGAGACACACGGCGGGUGCUAACGUCCGUCGUGAAGAGGGAAACAACCCAGACCGCCAGCUAAGGUCCCAAAGUCAUGGUUAAGUGGGAAACGAUGUGGGAAGGCCCAGACAGCCAGGAUGUUGGCUUAGAAGCAGCCAUCAUUUAAAGAAAGCGUAAUAGCUCACUGGUCGAGUCGGCCUGCGCGGAAGAUGUAACGGGGCUAAACCAUGCACCGAAGCUGCGGCAGCGAACGUAUCACUUAAAGCGAUUCAGCGGGUUACGAUUGACGGAGCGAAGCGACGUCAAAGCGUAUACAAAGUCGAGUCGGUUUAAGGAUACGUUCGUUGGGUAGGGGAGCGUUCUGUAAGCCUGUGAAGGUGGCCUGUGAGGGUUGCUGGAGGUAUCAGAAGUGCGAAUGCUGACAUAAGUAACGAUAAAGCGGGUGAAAAGCCCGCUCGCCGGAAGACCAAGGGUUCCUGUCCAACGUUAAUCGGGGCAGGGUGAGUCGACCCCUAAGGCGAGGCCGAAAGGCGUAGUCGAUGGGAAACGGGUUAAUAUUCCCGUACUUGGUGUUACUGCGAAGGGGGACGGAGAAGGCUAUGUUGGCCGGGCGACGGUUGUCCCGGUUUAAGCGUGUAGGCUGGUUUUCCAGGCAAAUCCGGAAAAUCAAGGCUGAGGCGUGACGACGAGGCACUACGGUGCUGAAGCAACAAAUGCCCUGCUUCCAGGAAAAGCCUCUAAGCAUCAGGUAACAUCAAAUCGUACCCCAAACCGACACAGGUGGUCAGGUAGAGAAUACCAAGGCGCUUGAGAGAACUCGGGUGAAGGAACUAGGCAAAAUGGUGCCGUAACUUCGGGAGAAGGCACGCUGACACGUAGGUGAAGUGAUUUACUCACGGAGCUGAAGUCAGUCGAAGAUACCAGCUGGCUGCAACUGUUUAUUAAAAACACAGCACUGUGCAAACACGAAAGUGGACGUAUACGGUGUGACGCCUGCCCGGUGCCGGAAGGUUAAUUGAUGGGGUCAGCGCAAGCGAAGCUCCUGAUCGAAGCCCCGGUAAACGGCGGCCGUAACUAUAACGGUCCUAAGGUAGCGAAAUUCCUUGUCGGGUAAGUUCCGACCUGCACGAAUGGCGUAAUGAUGGCCAGGCUGUCUCCACCCGAGACUCAGUGAAAUUGAACUCGCUGUGAAGAUGCAGUGUACCCGCGGCAAGACGGAAAGACCCCGUGAACCUUUACUAUAGCUUGACACUGAACAUUGAGCCUUGAUGUGUAGGAUAGGUGGGAGGCUUUGAAGCGUGGACGCCAGUCUGCGUGGAGCCGACCUUGAAAUACCACCCUUUAAUGUUUGAUGUUCUAACGUGGACCCGUGAUCCGGGUUGCGGACAGUGUCUGGUGGGUAGUUUGACUGGGGCGGUCUCCUCCUAAAGAGUAACGGAGGAGCACGAAGGUUGGCUAAUCCUGGUCGGACAUCAGGAGGUUAGUGCAAUGGCAUAAGCCAGCUUGACUGCGAGCGUGACGGCGCGAGCAGGUGCGAAAGCAGGUCAUAGUGAUCCGGUGGUUCUGAAUGGAAGGGCCAUCGCUCAACGGAUAAAAGGUACUCCGGGGAUAACAGGCUGAUACCGCCCAAGAGUUCAUAUCGACGGCGGUGUUUGGCACCUCGAUGUCGGCUCAUCACAUCCUGGGGCUGAAGUAGGUCCCAAGGGUAUGGCUGUUCGCCAUUUAAAGUGGUACGCGAGCUGGGUUUAGAACGUCGUGAGACAGUUCGGUCCCUAUCUGCCGUGGGCGCUGGAGAACUGAGGGGGGCUGCUCCUAGUACGAGAGGACCGGAGUGGACGCAUCACUGGUGUUCGGGUUGUCAUGCCAAUGGCACUGCCCGGUAGCUAAAUGCGGAAGAGAUAAGUGCUGAAAGCAUCUAAGCACGAAACUUGCCCCGAGAUGAGUUCUCCCUGAGACUUAGAGUCUCCUGAAGGAACGUUGAAGACGACGACGUUGAUAGGCCGGGUGUGUAAGCGCAGCGAUGCGUUGAGCUAACCGGUACUAAUGAACCGUGAGGCUUAACCUUACAACGCCGAAG
rnacentral:rRNA from 1 species